GGCAGUGGUAGCUCAGCGGUUAAACAUUGGACUAGCGCUUGGACGACCAUGAGUUCAAAUCCCAGCACUGCCA